rnacentral:rRNA from 1 species
UACAGAGGGGGCAAGCGUUGUUCGGAAUUACUGGGCGUAAAGGGCGCGUAGGCGGCCUUCUAAGUCGAACGUGAAAUCCCCGGGCUCAACCCGGGAACUGCGUCCGAUACUGGAAGGCUUGAAUCCGGGAGAGGGAUGCGGAAUUCCAGGUGUAGCGGUGAAAUGCGUAGAUAUCUGGAGGAACACCGGUGGCGAAGGCGGCAUCCUGGGUCAAGAUUGACGCUCAUGCACGAAAGCGUGGGGAGCAAACAGG